rnacentral:rRNA from 1 species
AAGCGGUGGAGCAUGUGGUUUAAUUCGAAGCAACGCGAAGAACCUUACCAAAUCUUGACAUCCUUUGACAACUCUAGAGAUAGAGCCUUCCCCUUCGGGGGACAAAGUGACAGGUGGUGCAUGGUUGGCGUCAGCUCGUGUCGUGAGAUGUUGGGUUAAGUCCCGCAACGAGCGCAACCCUUAAACUUAGUUGCCAGCAUU